ensembl:lncRNA
AUUAAUUGAUGUGCCUUGAAAUGCACGGUGGCAGCGCUAAGCACUCAUCCUCAGUAGACACAACUUGAUAUUCUGUUGGUGAAACCACUUUAUUUUAGCCUGGCUGUGAUUGGCCACGUACAGUCCCGAGUGUCUGCUUUGUACAGUAAAAGCAAAGAGCCAUGAGAAAAAGAAAGAAAUCCAACUGCUUGCCCACCACUCCUGCAGCCCACCCCACAACCACCUUCGCUAUCUGCAAGGCUGACUUCCAAACUCUGCCUUUCAUAUUAGAAAUGAUUAAUCCCCAUUCUCGCCCAGAACAAAAGGACCUACAGCUGGCCUUGCGCUCAGCGAGGAACACCAAGAAAAAAGCCUGAAGAAAUGAAGCUAUUGCAGCCCCCUCUCCGCCAGACUGUGGGUUUGUCUGUGUGCUCAUAUCUGUCUGUCCCCUCCAUAACAGCACCCAACUGCGUUGGCCGACUUCAACCACACUGGAUGGAAAGCAGAGGCCAAAAAGCCUUUUCUUGGGAUCCCUCUGAGAGCAAGACUUGCUAGCCAGUCAAGCAAAGAGAGGCAGACCCAUAAAUAAUCACACUGAGGCCAGACAAAUUCAACUUGGAAACAAAGUCUGCAUUUUUAACGGCACGUCUGUUAAAGGAGAAAAGCUUCCAUCAUAUUUUCUGUGUCUUCUUAGGCACACAAGUCAGUUAGCCUCAAGACACAAAUCCAGAGGAAAUCUGGCUCCUUUCGAUCCAGAACUACCUGUUUCAUAGGUUUUAAAAUUCACAGUGGGCUGUAAGAUCAUCUAUUCUGAGCUCUAUAUAAUAUGGACCAUAAAAUUGCAUACUCCAAUAAGGAACCCAAUAACUUGUGCUUGGCUGAAACCUCAGUUCCAGCAGGCAUCUGCUCACAAUUUGAAAAUAUCUGAAGAGGAAGAAUCUACUACUUUCAUUGGUAUUUUGUCUCAACACUUAAUCAUCCCCAUUGUUAAAGCUGUGGGCCUCAUUUUGAAAUGAAAUAUGUCUGCUUUUAGGUUCCAGCCUUGGACCUCUG